GACGAACGCUGGCGGCGUGCUUAACACAUGCAAGUCGAACGGAAAGGCCCUGCUUGCAGGGUACUCGAGUGGCGAACGGGUGAGUAACACGUGGGUGAUCUGCCCUGCACUUCGGGAUAAGCCUGGGAAACUGGGUCUAAUACCGGAUAGGAGCCAUUUUUAGUGUGAUGGUUGGAAAGUUUUUUCGGUGUGGGAUGAGCUCGCGGCCUAUCAGCUUGUUGGUGGGGUAAUGGCCUACCAAGGCGGCGACGGGUAGCCGGCCUGAGAGGGUGGACGGCCACAUUGGGACUGAGAGACGGCCCAGACUCCUACGGGAGGCAGCAGUGGGGAAUAUUGCACAAUGGGCGCAAGCCUGAUGCAGCGACGCCGCGUGGGGGAUGACGGCCUUCGGGUUGUAAACUCCUUUCGCUAGGGACGAAGCUUUUUGUGACGGUACCUAGAUAAGAAGCACCGGCUAACUACGUG
rnacentral:rRNA from 1 species